rnacentral:rRNA from 1 species
GGAAGGGCGCAGUUCGGCUGGGCCUCGCACAGGUGCUGCAUGGCUGUCGUCAGCUCGUGUCGUGAGAUGUUGGGUUAAGUCCCGCUACGAGCGCAACCCUCAUCCUUAGUUACCAGCGGGAAAUGCCGGGCACUUUAAGGAAACUGCCAGUGAUAAACUGGAGGAAGGUGGGGAUGAUGUCUAGUCAGCACGGCCCUUAUGGGGUGGGCUACACACGUGCUACAAUGGCGACUACAAUAGGUUGCAACGUCGCAUGGCUGAGCUUAUCCGUAAAAGUCGUCUCAGUUCGGAUUGUCCUCUGUAACUCGAGGGCAUGAAGUCGCAAUCGCUAGUAAUCGUGGAUCA